rnacentral:rRNA from 2 species
UUGUUGGUGGGGUAAUGGCUUACCAAGGCGACGACGGGUAGCCGGCCUGAGAGGGUGACCGGCCACACUGGGACUGAGACACGGCCCAGACUCCUACGGGAGGCAGCAGUGGGGAAUAUUGCACAAUGGGCGCAAGCCUGAUGCAGCGACGCCGCGUGAGGGAUGACGGCCUUCGGGUUGUAAACCUCUUUCAGCACGGAAGAAGCGUGAGUGACGGUACGUGCAGAAGAAGCGCCGGCUAACUACGUGCCAGCAGCCGCGGUAAUACGUAGGGCGCAAGCGUUGUCCGGAAUUAUUGGGCGUAAAGAGCUCGUAGGCGGUUUGUCGCGUCUGCUGUGAAAGCCCGGGGCUUAACCCCGUGGUGUGCAGUGGGUACGGGCAGACUAGAGUGCAGUAGGGGAGACUGGAAUUCCUGGUGUAGCGGUGAAAUGCGCAGAUAUCAGGAGGAACACCGAUGGCGAAGGCAGGUCUCUGGGCUGUUACUGACGCUGAGGAGCGAAAGCAUGGGGAGCGAACAGGAUUAGAUACCCUGGUAGUCCAUGCCGUAAACGUUGGGCACUAGGUGUGGGGGACAUUCCACGUUUUCCGCGCCGUAGCUAACGCAUUAAGUGCCCCGCCUGGGGAGUACGGCCGCAAGGCUAAAACUCAAAGGAAAUGACGGGGGCCCGCACAAGCGGCGGAGCAUGCGGAUUAAUUCGAUGCAACGCGAAGAACCUUACCAAGGCUUGACAUACAUCAGAUCGGCUCAGAGAUGGGUUUUCUCCUUUUGGGGUUGGUGUACAGGUGGUGCAUGGUUGUUGUCAGCUCGUGUUGUGAGAUGUUGGGUUAAGUCCCGCAACGAGCGCAACCCUCGUUUUAUGUUGCCAGCACGUGAUGGUGGGGACUCAUAGGAGACUGCCGGGGUCAACUCGGAGGAAGGUGGGGAUGACGUCAAAUCAUCAUGCCCCUUACGUUUUGGGCUUCACGCAUGCUACAAUGGCCGGUACAAUGGGUUGCGAAACCGUGAGGUGGAGCUAAUCCCAAAAA